GACAGGGGGGGCAAGCGUUGCUCGGAAUUACUGGGCGUAAAGGGCGCGUAGGCGGGAUGGCAAGUCGGUCGUGAAAUCCCUCGGCUCAACCGAGGAACGUCGAUCGAUACUGCUGUUCUUGAGGAUUGCAGAGGAGACUGGAAUUCCCGGUGUAGCGGUGAAAUGUGUAAAGAUCGGGAGGAACACCGGUGGCGAAGGCGGGUCUCUGGGCAAUUCCUGACGCUGAGGCGCGAAAGCGUGGGGAGCAAACGGG
rnacentral:rRNA from 1 species